UACGAAGGGGGCUAGCGUUGCUCGGAAUCACUGGGCGUAAAGGGUGCGUAGGCGGGUCUUUUAAGUCAGGGGGUGAAAUCUUGGAGCUCAACUCCAGAACUGCCUUUGAUACUGAGGAUCUUGAGUUCGGGAGAGGUGAGUGGAACUGCGAGUGUAGAGGUGAAAUUCGUAGAUAUUCGCAAGAACACCAGUGGCGAAGGCGGCUCACUGGCCCGAUACUGACGCUGAGGCACGAAAAGCGUGGGGGAGCAAACAGG
rnacentral:rRNA from 1 species